rnacentral:rRNA from 1 species
GACGAACGCUGGCGGCGUGCUUAACACAUGCAAGUCGAACGGAAAGGCCCGUGCUUUCUUUGGGGCUCGAGUGGGGAACGGGUGAGUAACACGUGGGUGAACUGCCCUUCACUUUGGGGUAAGCUUUUGAAACUGGGGCUAAUACCGGAUAUGAACUGCCUCCACUGGGGGGGGGGGGGAGAUUCGGCGGUUGGGGAUGGGGUCGCGGCUUAUCAGCUUGUUGGUGGGGUAGUGGCUUACCAAGGCGUUGACGGGUAGCCGGCCUGAGAGGGUGACCGGCCACAUUGGGACUGAGAUACGGCCCAGACUCCUACGGGAGGCAGCAGUGGGGAAUAUUGCACAAUGGGCGGAAGCCUGAUGCAGCAACGCCGCGUGCGGGAUGACGGCCUUCGGGUUGUAAACCGCUUUCGCCUGUGACGAAGCGUGAGUGACGGUAAUGGGUAAAGAAGCACCGGCUAACUACGUG